CCCAAGGCCCAGAAGAGUCGAUUUCUCCAUUCAUCUUCGACACUCACUGCCAUCCCAUCCUUCUUGCCAAUGAUUGCAUCAAAGAUGUGACCCUGAAUCAGAGCUAUGGGGACUCUGUCCCGGGAGGGAAGCCAGCGUUCAUUUCAGUUUGGCACCAGCAGCUGCACCCAUGCUGCAUCUUUGUGCAGAAGCCAACAGCCAGCCCUCCCCUGGCUCUGCGCCACUGCCGGCCUCUCGCUGCCACCCCAGCUCAAGGAGCCCC
ensembl:lncRNA